AAAGGAAAAUUGUUUAACGUUUCGAGCAAAGCACUUCUUCGGAAACAGAGGAAAGUCCAAUAGAAAAGGAAGAUGGAGGCAAAAAAAUCGACAACGAUUCUCAUGUAGGUACAUUUUGAAAAUGUAUAUAAUAAACUCAGA